rnacentral:rRNA from 1 species
GACGAACGCUGGCGGCGUGCCUAAUACAUGCAAGUCGAGCGAAGCGGCGGAUGGGUGAGAAACGCGUGGGAAACCUGCCCUUAAGUCUGGGAUCCCAUUUGGAAACAGAUGCUAAUACCGGAUACGAAAGGAUGGACCGUCGUUGAAUUAGCUAGUUGGGAAGGUAACGGCUUACCAAGGCGAGGAUGCAUGGCCGAGUUGAGAGACUGAUCGGCCACAUUGGGACUGAGACACGGCCCAAACUCCUACGGGAGGCAGCAGUAGGGAAUCUUCCACAAUGGACGAAAGUCUGAUGGAGCAACGCCGCGUGAGUGAAGAAGGUUUUCGGAUCGUAAAGCUCUGUUGUUGGUGAAGCGGUAAUCAACCAGAAAGUCACGGCUAACUACGUGCCAGCAGCCGCGGUAAUAC